rnacentral:rRNA from 1 species
UACGUAGGGUGCGAGCGUUGUCCGGAAUUAUUGGGCGUAAAGAGCUCGUAGGCGGUGUGUCACGUCGUUCGUGAAAACCUGCAGCUUAACUGUGGGCGUGCGGUCGAUACGGGCAUCACUGGAGUUCGGCAGGGGAGACUGGAAUUUACGGUGUAGCGGUGAAAUGCGUAGAUAUCGGAAGGAAGACCAGUGGCGAAGGCGGGUCUCUGGACAGUACCUGACGCUGAGGCACGAAGGUCAGGGGAGCAAACGGG